CGCCGCCGCCGCUGGUCACAUGCACGCGGCCCCGGCCCCGCCUCGCGCUCUGCCCGCCAACCGUCCCCCUCAGCCCCGUCACGGUUCCCGGGUCCCGUCGCUACCAUCUUCAUGCCACCGCUGCAAUGGAUUUGCUUGCAAAUUAACGCCAAGAGCCAUCGCGAGCUCCAGGUGCAGCCUUAAUGUUGCACCAGGAUGAACCUCAGGUGUCAUUGUGUGAGUCAAAGGUUUUGCCAGAGUUUCCACUCACAGAGGAAGAGACCUUUCCUGCCAGUGAUGGUGCUGGGACCAACUGUGCCUGAGGAACACGGGCUGAUGUUCUACGGGUAAUAUAGGGAAAGUAAUUGCAAUUCCUGAACAAUCACACUGAUCCUUGUUAUCUGUGCUAUUUAAAUACCACACGGUCCUGCCUACAGAGAAAGAACUAACCACCACCUAAGAUCACAUGCCCAUAGUAAGAUCCAAAAUUAAUUUAUAUGAAUUUAUGUUAAGUAUGAUCUCUUGCGAUCACCAUUUUACUUUGCUUUAUUACAUAAAUUGUACUUCUUCUCUUUAAACAAAUAUGUACAUAGAAAUAAAAAAAAAUCCCAAAUACACUAGAAACCAUUACAUAAUUAAUUGACGAUAAUUAACACUAUAAAUACACUUUUAAGAGCAGUAAUUCAUGUGCAUUCCAAUGUAUAAAACCAGUUGUCACAGACAUAUCCUAUUAAGUACCAUUUCUCAUUCUGAUGAUAAUAAUAAUGGUCAAGGUAGCUUUGAUGGUCUCAGACCACAGUAACCGGUGGUUAAUGUGCUUCUUUGUAAAGAGCUGGAAAAAGUCCUCAAACCCCUCGAUUCCUUCAGUAAAGCGAACCACAUCACAUUUUAGGCUGUUGCUAUUGAAUUCAGAGGAAGCAAAACUGGGCCUUGAUUGUCCCAAAGGAUGCAGAGAGGAGAUGAGAGAAAACUUCCGGGAAAUAAUAUGCAGUAAUAAAGGUAAUAAAAAUGGGAUCUUCAAGUACACUAUUUUUCUGUUCUGGAUCUAUUGCUAUUACAUCCAGCAUUGCCAGUGAUUUGUGAUGUCAAAUAUUUCCCCUGAAUCUCCUCUUAAAUUACCCUGUCAGAGAAUAGCAUGGU